ensembl:snRNA U4 U4 spliceosomal RNA
AGCUUUGCGCAGUGGCAGUAUCGUAGCCAAUGAGGUUUAUCCGAGGCGCGAUUAUUGCUAAUUGAAAAAACAUUCUACUUAAUAGAA